rnacentral:rRNA from 1 species
GACGAACGCUGGCGGCGUGCCUAAUACAUGCAAGUAGAACGCUGAAGGAGGAGCUUGCUUCUCUGGAUGAGUUGCGAACGGGUGAGUAACGCGUAGGUAACCUGCCUGGUAGCGGGGGAUAACUAUUGGAAACGAUAGCUAAUACCGCAUAAUAGUAGAUGUUGCAUGACAUUUGCUUAAAAGGUGCAAUUGCAUCACUACCAAAUGGACCUGCGUUGUAUUAGCUAGUUGGUGAGGUAACGGCUCACCAAGGCGACGAUACAUAGCCGACCUGAGAGGGUGAUCGGCCACACUGGGACUGAGACACGGCCCAGACUCCUACGGGAGGCAGCAGUAGGGAAUCUUCGGCAAUGGACGGAAGUCUGACCGAGCAACGCCGCGUGAGUGAAGAAGGUUUUCGGAUCGUAAAGCUCUGUUGUAAGAGAAGAACGAGUGUGAGAGUGGAAAGUUCACACUGUGACGGUAUCUUACCAGAAAGAGACGGCUAACUACGUG